rnacentral:pre_miRNA from 1 species
GUGGGGAGGCCGGAUCCUGGGCUGUGUCCCGGCGUCCUGUGUUCCGGGGCCUGCGCUGUUGGAUUUGUGCUCCCGCCCGCAGCCCCCU